rnacentral:lncRNA from 1 species
GAGAGACAUUUGAAAAUAAAACUUUUUCCUAUUGCAUAAUAAGCUAUAUCGGUGCAAUCGUGCAAGUCAUAAUUAAAAGUCGAACGCCACAAAUAAUUAGUUAUUUUUUUUCUUAUGAAUGUAACAAUAUAUUUAUAGAAGGGUUGAGAAGUUUGGGCUCAACAGCGUAAUAGACCUCAUAAUUUGAUAUCGAUUACUUUCUGCUUACAAGUAAUGAUGGAUAAUUAAAUCAUAGUAUUAAGCGAUAAUAAUUUUUAAAUAUUUAUGAAUGUGACCAGAGCAUUGUGAGUAGUUAUGUUUCAAACGUUUGGAGGAACAUGAAUGAAUUGGAUACAGAGUGUAAAAGCCGUCUUGGUCUUAGAUCACCUUUUGCUGGUUGAAACGGCAACCGUCUUACAAAUACAAUAAGACAAAACUCGUGUCUAAGUUAUCAACUAACCCCAAUCUUAAUUCUUAAUCAUUAUAUUAGUGAAUCUAUGUGACUUGGAAUGAAGACCAAGAAUUUACAAGUCAAUAAAAAAAUGUGGGUCAAAAUUUAAAAAAAAACAUUUAAAGAAAGCCCAAGAAGAAUGAG